rnacentral:rRNA from 1 species
UACGAAGGGUGCAAGCGUUACUCGGAAUUACUGGGCGUAAAGCGUGCGUAGGUGGUGAGUUAAGUCUGUCGUGAAAGCCCCGGGCUCAACCUGGGAAUGGCGAUGGAUACUGGCUCGCUAGAGUGCGGUAGAGGAGAGUGGAAUUCCCGGUGUAGCAGUGAAAUGCGUAGAGAUCGGGAGGAACAUCAGUUGCGAAGGCGACUUCCUGGCCUGUUCUUGACGCUGAGGCGCGAAAGCUAGGGGAGCAAACGGG